rnacentral:rRNA from 1 species
GACAGAGGGUGCAAACGUUGUUCGGAAUUACUGAGCGUAAAGCGUAUAUAAACGGUCUCGUAAGUCGGGUGUGAAAGCCCUGGGCUCAACCCAGGAAGUGCACUCGAAACUACAAAGCUAGAGUAUCGGAAAGAUUGGUGGAAUUCUCGGUGUAAAAGUGAAAUUCGUAGAUAUCGAGAAGAACACCGGUAGCGAAGGCGGCCAACUGGACGAAUACUGACGCUGAGACACGAAAGCGUGGGGAGCAAACAGG